rnacentral:rRNA from 1 species
CGGGAAACUGGGGAUAAUACUCUAUAGACUAUGGAUGCUGGAAUGCUCUUUAGCCGAAAGGUCCGCCGCCUUAGGAUGGGUCUGCGGCCGAUUAGGUUGUUGUUGGGGUAACGGCCCAACAAGCCUGUAAUCGGUACGGGUUGUGGGAGCAAGAGCCCGGAGAUGGAUUCUGAGACACGAAUCCAGGCCCUACGGGGCGCAGCAGGCGCGAAAACUUUACAAUGCGGGAAACCGUGAGAAGGGAACUCUGAGUGCACGUUAAAUCGGGCUGUCCAUCAGAUUAAAAAACUGGGGAAGAAAGGGCCGGGCAAGACCGGUGCCAGCCGCCGCGGUAAUA